AUGAUGGGCAGAUCAAGCUGCCUCCCCAGGACGAUGAUGUGCUUCUGAGAGUUGACUUUGUGAGGGAAGUCGAUGAGCUGCUGAAAGAAGUUGAAGCUGAGCAAGAAAAGAGUAAGCUGCACACUGGAUACGACCCGGAGUCUGUUGCGACCAUGUUGAAACAGCAAGAGAAGCUGCGGACUAUACGUCAAGUGGAAGCUCUCUUGGAGUUGGCAGCCACCCUGAAAUGGUGAGGACUGAACAGUAUCGUUUACUCUCUUCUGCGUAGACCCUAGAAGGCAUCGACUUGCCUGGAUGGUUCCACUAGCUGUUUCUUUGUGGUUUCUGCUAGUUAGAGCUUAGAAACUGUUAACUAUUCAGAGUAGAGACAUGCCAUUCCUCUUCCGCAAAAAAGAAAAAUGUAUACAUUAUAUGCGUGGAGAACUGGAGAUACGUAGUGAUGUACAUUUGCACCAUUGAUAGUGGGUUCCUUGCAACUGGAUAUAUUUGCACUGGUGGCUGCCGCACUCAUGGCGGCAAAGGUAGGAGGGUAUUCCGGUGCUUGUAACGCGAGCUAGUACAAGCCAGCAAGCUCUGUGUCUGUAUGACCAGAAAAAAGGGCAAAUUGCUGGCCUUCUAAAGUUCUCAAUUGGCUUUAUAAUUUGUAAAUCUGAUCUUCAAACUGAAAAAUGAGGAGUCGUCGUGGGAAAAACCCUGAGUAAGGCACUGCACAUUGCAAGAGCUUGUAAAAGUAAUUGCAGUUUUGCAUCCUUUUGGAAAUCUCAUAAGCUAGGACACUGUGCAUCCAUUAAGCAUGGUCUGUGCUCCAUGUGCUUACUGCACCUGAUCGUGCAAUGCUUGAGUUGCUCACAUGCACACCAUUCUCCUGGCAUUGCAAGUUAAAAGGCAACACAGUGAGGUUGCUGGCGAGCAAUACUGAGUUUACCGAAGGAAUGCAAUAGCUCCCACCGCUGAGUCUAACUAGCUAGACCAAGGUUCGGGAGAUAUGAGCGACAGUAGAUCUAGGCAGCCGGUGAUCGUCUAUUUAGGCUUGGGAUACAUCUGGAAUACGAGUCUGCCAAAUUCUGAAGCUGUUACUUUCUCAUGGCUGCCCUGUCAAUUUACGUUGUUGCAACUUGCAAUGCCGCUGGAUCUUCGUAUAUGCGCGAAACCAAGUCGGCUCGAUUAUUCUCUAGGCUCGCCACUGGUAGUCUGGUACUUGCAUUUUUGUUGUUAGCGCCUUAGCGGUAUCAGCAUGAUUUUGGUAUCCUUCUCUGCUACUAGUCUUGCUCUUCUCAGAUGUUGCAGACAAGGUGCAAACAACGUCAGUUUUACAUCUCUUAGGGCCAUCAACAUGGCUGUUCCAUGGAAGUUGCUUCACCACUGCAAAGAUCCGUAGAGGGCAAUAGUAUUGAGAGCCGCUCAACUGUGAGACCUAGAAUAGCAACUCUCAUACGAAAACUCACCGGAGAAGAGGAUGGCUAGAUGCAGUCACUGCACCACUAUGAGUCCAAUGAGACGAGCCGCACUCAUAAAUUAAACCUGAGUUCUCUUUCUUAGAAAAUUGGAGAGCGCAUAUACCGCAUUAACUUGCAAAAANNNNNNNNNNNNNNNNNNNNNNNNNNNNNNNNNNNNNNNNNNNNNNNNNNNNNNNNNNNNNNNNNNNNNNNNNNNNNNNNNNNNNNNNNNNNNNNNNNNNNNNNNNNNNNNNNNNNNNNNNNNNNNNNNNNNNAGUAUCAUAAAUACAUAAAUCUAUAUAUUUAAUAGAAGAGUUUUGUUACAUAAUUGAAAUCAAUGAGAGCCUAUAUAAAUAGUGUGGCAGCCCAUAUUGAGCAUGAAAUCAACGGUUAAACAUCCAGUUACAUGGAUGCCACUCAAUUCAUUCAUGAAAGCUUGGGCAUCAUUGUUCAUUUGCUCACUACAAAGGUAAAGGAAGAACUUAGCAAUCAAUAUCGAACAAUGCAUCACUAUACUAAUCAAAUGCAAACAAUAAAACGAAAAGAGGAUUUUAUUUUGCCAUUCGAGCAUUUACUCGAGCAUGUAGCAGCGUCUGAGUCCAUCUCGUCCUCAUCCACCAGCGGUGGAGGGGUUGCCUGUGUGGCAACAAGAGGUGGGGUAGCACUCACGGGAACCGCGGCAGGUCGAGGGGGAAGCGAACAGGCGGCCGCAUUCUUGUUUUUCUUCGCCAGCGCCGCCGUGUUGACCACUGCCUUUUUCGUCACCCAAUAUUCCCUUUUGCUAGUCUACUUCACCACAAUCGGUAUGGUGGCCACGUCGAAGGGACUGUCGCCGACCAUCGUUGAUGCUUUGUUGUCGAUGAGGUUCCUCCCCUGCUGCCGCCUUUUCGGUGAUUGCACCGCCGAAUUCAUGGCCGCCGGUGGUCUCUGGCGCCGGUGUCCAAGGGUGCGGCGUGGGGACGGUACCCAUUCGGCCUGUCGUCGGGGGAAGGGGACGCCUGGCGACGGUGUCGUGGUGGGCGGGAAGCGUCGAGGUGAGCGGGAGAGCAUGGGAGUUUUAGUCUGCCGAGCGGCGUGGACUAAAUUUGAGAGAAGGGGGAGAGGCAAGUUUAGGGGGUCAAAAACUAAAUUAAGAAAAGUUUUGGGUUUAGGGGAUAUGCUAGUUUGCUCUCUUUGGUCCUAAUAUCACUUUUGCCCCUCGAAUUUCAGUUUUAGGGAAUCUGAUAGAGAUGCCCUAACCCGAUGUCUUCUUGUAACGUAGUGAUUGCCUACUUGUUUACUCUCACGCAAGAUAUAAAAUGGUAAGAAAAUGAUGUGUGUGUUUUGGNNNNNNNNNNNNNNNNNNNNNNNNNNNNNNNNNNNNNNNNNNNNNNNNNNNNNNNNNNNNNNNNNNNNNNNNNNNNNNNNNNNNNNNNNNNNNNNNNNNNNNNNNNNNNNNNNNNNNNNNNNNNNNNNNNNNNNNNNNNNNNNNNNNNNNNNNNNNNNNNNNNNNNNNNNNAAUGUACAGACCAAGCAGCAUACUUGCUUUCAGAAACAACGCAGUGCUGAUGUAGUAAGUACACCACAUGUGAUAAUGACAUGACAUGUUUGAAACUUGAAAGAUGAAACAAAUUAGGUAUAAGACCUUAUUGCUUUUGAAGAGAGAAGAUACAAGUAAUAAUGCAACUUGAAGAGAUAGUAACGAUUUUGGGCCACUUCUUCUAUAAAAGGGACACAUCGACUAAGAGAGGACACCGAUCAAAGAGAUCAAAGAACGAGAGUUGUGAGAAUAAUCAGCAAAACCAACAGAAUGGGGUGGUGAAAUGUUGGGUCACUGCUUGUUCCUCUAGCUGAUAAUCUCUAGCUUGAUACCAGGCUUUGGAGGCAUUUGGAAUUGGCAGAUGCUAGGCGUAAGCCGGAUGAUAACAACAACUUAUCAGCCGCCUUGCUAAUCGUCCGAUCAUACACAUCAUAACCGUUCGCUUGGUGUCUCACGGAUUGCACUUCCCGUCAGCAUUUUCCCUCUCGCGCAGGCACCAUCAUGCAUCGCCCAUGGUAGCGCUCCAAGCACAUCUUCCAGCUAGGCAGUAGCGGCUGGGACACCACCGGAGCUGCGAUGCAACGGCUGUCGGAGUUGUGAUACAGCGAGCGUCGACGCCGCCGGAGCUGCGAUGCAGCGGCCAUCGACGCCGCCGGAGCUGUGAUGCAGCGGGCACCGGAGCUGCGAUGCAGCAGCCGUCGACGCCGUCGGAACUGCAAUGCAGCGGCCAUGACGUCGCCGGAGCUGCGAUGCAGCGGCCGUCGGAGCUGCACUGCCGAGCUGCGAUGCAGCGGCCGUCAACGCCGUCUGACCUGCAGUGCAGAGGCCACGACGCUGCCGGAGUUACGAUGCAACGGCCGUCGGAGCUGUGAUGCAGCUGUCGUCGACGCCGCCGGACCUGCAGUGCAGCGGCCACGAGGCCGCCGGAGCUGCGAUGCAGCGACCGCCGGAGUUGCGAUGCAGAGGGCGUCAAUGCUGGGUUUGCGGCAGCUUGAUUCGGCACGCUCGUCGGCACCUGGGGCUGUUGGAACUUGGAACACAAGGGCGUCACUAGUGGUCGUUGUCUGCCCCAUGGAGCAGCUCAUGCGGGGUAGCAGCAGCCUAGCCACUACCUAGCAAUAAUCACUUAAGACUGCCAUCAUAUCCUUAUUCAGACUUUUCUCAGCAAUUGUACGUAUAUGCGUCUUGUUGAAAACUGUUUUGAGAAUAAUCCAUCAGUAGAGUCUUCAUCAUCCAUCGUUGAGGCUCUGCGAGGAGAAAACACAAACCACAACAAAAAUAAAAACGUUGUAGUAACUAUGCAACAAGAGUAGUAGACCAACUAGAUAGAAAACACACUAUCUCUACAUUGCCACUACUUGCUGAAACACAAAUUGCUAGAUAAAAAACCAUCACCUCUACAUCUGCAUAUUACCAACAAAACAAAUAAAACACAUCACCCCUGGAUAUAAACCCCCACCUCUACAUUUGCAUAUUACCGAUAAAACAAAAGAACACAUCAUCCCUGAAUAUAAUACCCUACUGCAUGUAUGUCAUCGAUUAGCCACUGCCCACUGAUAACAAAAAAUAAGAAAAAACACACUGUCUAGCAGUAAACAUGCAAAGAGGUAAACCUGCUGAUGAAACAAAGUUAGUAAUGAAUCGUUAUCACAUCAUGUAGCACACCAUGCAUGUAGUCGCAAGCCUCAUUUUUUGACAAAGGGGGUCCUAGAAAAAUGAACAAAAAAACCACUAGAGUCUGUGUUGCACUGAAACACCAUCACUCUCACUUGCGUAGAAUCAAGUCCAUGACUAGAAAACAGAAAACAAAAAGCACAUCCCAGUCUGGACAACAAAACAUUCCUGCUGUUGUGUGCAAACUGCAAAUCGCUGCUCUGAAAUGAACACAAAACUACUAGAGUCUAUGCUACAUAUGAAGCACCACUCCCAGUUGCGUAGAAUCAAGCCCACUACUAGAAAAAAGAGAACAAAAAGGUACAUCCCAAUCUGGACAACAAACAUUCCUGCUGCUGCUUACAAUUAGUGCUCUGAAAAUUAAAUAAAGAACACUAGAUUCUGUGCUACAAAUGAAGCAGCACUCCCAGUCUGAACUCUGAAGAACAUUCCUGUUGUUGUGAAACAGCAGAUCAGAUCACCUCUCACAGUGGAUUUGCUGCGCUGGCUGUGGAUUCGCUAAUGUAAAACAAAGCAAAUUCGUCACACACACGAUCUAUCCAGCAACCACCCCCUGACCUUAUCGUCCCUGACCUAAAGGCUCCCAACGAGCCCCUCCGCCCCACAAUCAUCUCGCUGUCAAGUCCCCUCCGCCCCUAGAGCGCCGGUCCUCGAUCUCCCACGUACCACUGUGAAUUUGGAGGGGGUCGUUGGGAGCCUUUAUCCUGUACUGAGACCUAUCAUUUCGGUGUGAUUUGGGGGCGGGUGUGGAAUACCUGUGCGGCGGAGCGUCGUCGUCGAUGCUGUCAGUUGUCGCCGUGCGCGCCUCCACUUCCCGUCGCCGUCGCUUCGCCGCUCCGGAUGCCGUCACGUCGCCUCUCGCGUCAGCUGCUGCCUGGGUGGCGCCCGGAUCUGAGUCCUCUGCUUCGCUAUCCGCGAGACACCACGCGAUUGGAACAAGCCCGUGUUGCCAACGAGAGUAUCCAGGCGGGCACGUGAGAGAAUCCAGCGCCGCACGAUCAAACCCGAUCGGACGGCUCGCGGGGAGGCUUGCGGCAGCCAGAAAUCAAUCAGUCUAAAUAAAGAGUUCUCCUUUGGAAUUUAGCUAUCCUGUGAGCGUUUCCUCCGACUAUGCAUGGCGUCGGUGGUAUGUGGAAAAUGAAACCAUACUACCCCGCUCAUGAUUUUCCAACUUGGAUAAAAGGUUACAAUUCUAUGGUACUGCUACAUGGCGUCUAAUUAAGAAACACGGGCGGCCAUGCGUGGCGAAGCGCUCUAUCACAUUAGUACUGUUCAGUUACUCACUUGGUCAGGAAAUAUUUGCCAUUGACUUCAGCAAUGGGAUGGUAGAAAAUUAUGCUAGUUGUUAGGGUGAUGUAAUGUCAACCUAGAGUUUUCAAGGAAUUGACGGGUCACAUGUUUGGCCUUUGGGGUUUAUGGUCUUUGCGGCUGGUUGUACAUUGUAACCAAUGAAAAAAUAGCGUGCUAUAUGACAAAAUAGCAUGGGCCUUAAAUAUGCUAUUAGCAUAUGCUAUAUCGCGCCAUAGCGUGCUAUUAGCAAAACAUUGUACAUCAAUUUAUUUAGCAAGACAUUUCUCAGAAUGAUAUAGCGCUAUUUUUUUCACUGACUGUAACAUUACUUUUGUUGUACAUGUCCGCUUAUUUAGGAUCGCACGACGUCAUGGUCUGCGUGCCUAUUUGUAAGGCAUCCCGUGCUCCUCUUUGGCUCUUUCCAUGUAUAAGACUCUGUACUCUGUAACAGUUUCAUUAGCAAGGCAAGAGAUAGAGUAUUCUCUCCCGCUAUAGCUAUAUUUCAGUGGGCUGAAAAAAAACAUUUAGGGUCAGUCGAUUUUGUUUUUUCAAAUUGUGCACACACACGUAUACUACCUUGCAUGCAGCCAGUCAGUGGUGAAUCUAGUAGGACAUUGGAGGGUAGGCUUAAAACACAAAUUUCCUAAGUCUAACUAGCAAAUGUAUUGCAAUUAUUGCAUGUAAACCACCAGAAUAUACUUGUCAAAUGGUAUGUUUAGUUUAAAUAGGAUUUUGGAGGGUAGGCUUAAGCCUAUUGAAGCCUCCCUAGUGGAAUCGCCACUGCAGCCAGUGCGUGCAACAUGGGUGACACACGGCCGAUGGCACUAAUUGGGGAGUUAGUGGAGAGUAAUUGAGAUCAAUCUAACAAGCUCGUUUUAGUUUGAAUUAAAAGUUAAUUGUAUGAAUUUCCUCUGUCAUGUCAACGUACAAGUCCGAAUGUGUUUUCUAUGUGUCUUCUUUGUUGUUUUUCAUUCAGUUUUUCUUUGUUUGUGUGUGCGUGUGUGCCUGUGUGGGUGUGUGUCCGUGUGUGGGUGUGUGCGCAUGCGUGCGUGUUGAGGGAGAUGACCCCAUCGAUGUAAAUGCAAUUUAUUUUUGACAUAUUGAGAGACGAUUAAUCUUCAGCAUUGAUGUUCUGUUAUGAACAUAGAGUAUAACAUGAAUGUCUUAAUGCAAAUUAUUUAAUUAGUGUGUAAAUUAUUUUGAGAUCUUAGAUGUAUACCAAUGCCACAGAUUAAUUCUUUCUUAGACAACUAUUUUUCUGUUUAGUUUAUUAUUUAUUUCUUUAUUCUUAAAGUGUAAUGCCAAUGCCACUAAUUCAUUUUUCCUUAGAAAACUUUAUUAUUUUGAUUUUAUUUCAUUAUGUUUCUUCCUUAAGGUAAUACUAAUGCUACUAAUUCAUUCCUUACUAGAGAACUUUAGUUUUGUGAAAAAUCCAAUUAUAUGCUUAUUCUUUCAUAUUAUAAAAAAGCAUAAUUUAUGUGUAAAUAGUGUGCAAUAUUUUUUCAAUUUUUUCAUCUUUUUCAUUAUUUUUAUUUUAUUUUAUUUUUAAGGGUAAUACUAAUGACACUAAUUCAUUUCAUCUUACAUAACAUUUUUUGCAAAAGUUCCAUUUUUACAUGCCUAUUCUUGCAUAUUAUGAAAAGAUGCAAAUUAUGUGUAAAUUAUGUGCAAAUUUAGUUAUUAUUUCUUUUGAGUUUCUUUUGCGUUUUAUUUCUACUUGGAAGGUAAUACCAAUGUCACUAAUUCAUUCUUACUUAGUAAACUUUAUUAUUUGGAUUUUGUUUGAGUUUUUCUUUCAUUUCUUUCUUCAUUAAGGGUAAUACCAAUGCUAGUAAUUCAUUACUUGUUCCGAAACUUUUUUUUAGAGAAAAUUUCACUAGUACAUGCUUAUUCUACUGUAUUAUAAAAGAGUGCAAUUUCUGUGUAAACUGUGUGCAAAAGUUGACAUUUAUUAUUAUUUUAUCUCCUUUUUCCUUUAAGGGCAAUACCAAUGACACCUUCCAAAAUGGGUAAUACUAACGGCACUUAUUUAUUUUAUUAAAAAAAAUCUUUGCAAAAAAAUCCACUAUUACAUGCUUAUUAUUGCAUUUAUUAAAAUGCGCAAUUUUGGUGUAAACUGUGUGCAAUUUUCGUCAUUAUUUGUUUUAGUUAUUUCAUUUUUUUCAUAUUUAAGGGUAGUACCAAUGCCACUAUUUCAUUCUUAGAAAACAUUUUUUUCCCAAAAUUCCACUGGUAUAUAAUUAUUUCUACAUGAAAAAAAUGAAUUGUCUAUGUAAAUUGUGUGCAAAUCUUGUCAUUAUUUGUUUACAUUUUUAUCUUCUUAAAGUGUAAUACUAACGACUUUAAUGUAUUUUUUUUCUGAAAACUUCAUUAUUUUGAUUUUGUUUUAUUUUAUUUUUCUUCUUCUUUAUGGGUAAUACUAAUGGCACCAAUUCAUUCCAUCUUAGAGAACUUUGAUUUCACAAAAAACCCUCUGUUAUAUGCUUGUUCUUACAUAUUGUAAAUAAUUGUAAUUGAUGUGUAAAUUGUGUGCAAAUUAUGUCAUUAUUUGUUUUAUUUUGUUUUUUCUAAACGGAUAAACCAAUCCAAUUCAUGCAUUCUUCUUUAGCAAAAUUAAUUAUUUUUAUUUGAUUUUAGUUUGUAUUUCGUUUUAUUUCUUCUUUUAAGGUAAUAUCAAUGCCAAUAAGUCAUCGUCCUUCCGCUCCAUAAUUAUUGUCGUGGUUUUACUUCAAAUUUGAAUUAAAACCAUAACAGUAAUUAUGGAACAGAGGGAGUACUUCUUAGAAAACAUUUUUUGCAAUUUUUUUAAUGUUAUAUACUUAAUCUUAUAUAUUAUAAAAAAACACAAUUUCAAGCACGUAUGCAUGUACUUUUUUAGGGGUACACGUACGCAUGUACUAGAAGGUGAUUGUGGUACAAUCUCACCUGGAAGCAUGUACUAGCAAUCAAGUACGCAACUACGGUUGAUUGUUUGGACAGUUAUAUGAAGUCUAUUCGAGAUGCUAAAAGGUUCAGUACAGAGGAAAUAAUUAAAGGUAAAAUGCCGGUUGCUGAUUGGGCUUUGCCUGAAGUGAGACCUGCCCCUAGUCCUAAACCUUGGCCUCCUCCGUCUACUGAGUAUGUUGCUCUAUCAGUUGGUGGUUCUUUCUCAGUGGAAUCUGACGCAACGGCGGCAGAAAUGAUUCUUAGACGACAUGACGGUUCACUUAUUUUUGCAGCAUAUCGGUUUAUUUUCAAUUGUAACGAUUCUCUGAAAGCUGAGAUUCAUGCAAUCAUGCAAGGGAUGACCCUAGCUAUACAACAUUCCACUCUUUCGGUCAUCGUUCAAUCUGACUCAAGUGAGGCGUUGUUAUGUCUAUCAGGGAACGGACUUCUUCGUUCUGCCUAUGGUCAUCUUGUGGCUGAAAUUAAGGAGUUGAUGAGACAUAGGGAGUUUAUUCCUCAUAAGUUGAAUAGGGAUCAAAACAGAGUUGCCGAUCGUUUGACAAAUUAUAGUCGUAUAGAGUGUACCACGGCUGUGUGAAUGCAUGUAGGACCACCAUGUAUUGAAGAUCUUUUACCUCUCAACUGUAACUCUCUCAAUAUGGAAUAAAACUUCUUUUCCCUCGAAAAAAAAGAGUACGUACAUAAUAUGAGCUCAUAACAUGCACCAAUCACUGUUGGAUUUAAUCAUGUCUUGUUCAGUCUGGCUCAGCUCAUCUCAUCUUACACAUGCGUAGGACAACUCAUCAUAGCACCGCUUGCUUAUGAAACAAUAUAUGAGAUUAAAGAAUUCAGCGACUCAACUUUACUAUUAAUUGGUGAAAGGAGAAGCAUGCACCGGCCGGUCCACAACUACUCAAGGGAAGCCUCGCUAGUACACAGAUCGACUCAAACAAACUGUGGUCAGUCGACUGACCAAAAUAUUGUCUUCAGUCGACUGUCCUCUAGCCGCUCCAAUUCUCUCCAACUUGGUAUCGGUCACCGGGAAACCACCAUGGCCGAGCCUUUCUCCUCCUCCGCUGCCACCAGCGCCGCUACGUCACCCGGUCUCGCUCUCCUCCACGGCGCCUGCCGCCGAGACCUCCUCUGCCACCUUCGCGGCCUCCUCGCCACCCUUCAUCUUCCGUACUAAUCCGUCUCUCCUCAGCGGCAGCUCCGCCUCGUCCGGAUCAUAGUUUGCUCCUCUCUUCUCCUCGGCCACCCUCACGCCUCCGCCGGCUCCUCGCCACCCAAUCUUUAAUGAUCAUAUGACCAAUCACAUCAAAUUCCUGCUGAACCCUGCCGAUCACAACUACCACAAGUGUUGCAGCAUUGUGUCAGCAAUAAUUUGAAUUGCUAGAGCAUGACCAUUGCAUUUGCAUCUCACAUUGUAAAACACACAGUUUCCUUCGCUUCAUGGUCUUUAUCUUCCCUUAUCUUGAUUGUCCAAUGUUUGAUCUUUAUGUUUUUUGGACUUCUCAUUGCAGAAAUGUUUCGGAGAAAUUCCCUUGAUUGUAAACUGCAGAGUUGGUAUACAUUUAUUUAUUUGGCCUUCUAUUCUACCUGCAGGAUGAGAAGGAUACCAUCACAAGCCUUGAUCUCUUGUACAUAAGGGUAGAGGUAAGUGGAAAAUCUAUUCUAAUCUGUAUCUUAUCUAGAUGAGUUUAAUUAAGCAUCAUUAUUUAAAAGUUUCUGCCCACAAGUGUUGAUUAUUUAAAUUUCUCCUGUUUUUAACAGUAUCAUUAGUUUGUAACUGGCUAAUCAGAAAAGGAAACUGAAUGCAGACUGAGAUUUUAAAAAGUGAAGCCACUCCUGCCAUGAGAUUACUCGAUGAAUUUCUGAAUAUUCAUGAUGGCUAUGAUGAUGACAAAUGACUAAAGGCAUGUAUAAAGCACAUGACUGAAAUUUUUCCGAGAGAGGACCCAUUCACCAUGGUCUUUCCUGCUGGGUUUGAGUUCGACAUGGAGAAAGUAUGCUAGUUGAAUGCAAGGCCCCUUAUCUUGAUGAAACUGGGAGUAUUUGAAUUGACGGUACUCGGGUGUGAGAAUUUAUGAAAUAGAACUAAAAAAACAGCUUCUUACUUACAUGGUACCCUUUUCUUUAUAGGGCUCCUACAUUCGUAGGUAUCUCCUAUAGUCAGUCACUCGGCCGUAUGAAAAAUUACUGUAAUCUCUUAACGUAUAGGCCAUCCCAUCAAUGCUACACAGUAAAACUUUGCCAGGCUGUUGUAGAUUUAACAAGAUAUUGACACCUAAAAAUGCAAUUUGCCUUAAAACAAAUAGUACAUGAAAAAUAACAUAAAGUAUUGCAGGGCAAAGAUAUUAUCACAUGCCUCAUGGUAAAUUGACUCCAGAGGUAACCAGUUAUCCUGUUAUCUGUUCAUACUUUUAAAGUGGGUGGUGACUAAUAUAUUAUUCCCUCCGUUCCUAAAUAUAAGUCUUUUUAGAGAUUCCACUACAAACUACAUACGAAUGUAUAUAGACAUAUUUUAAAGUGUAGGUUCACUCAUUUUGAUACGGAGGGAGUGCUUUGUAAAUCUAGUCUUCAAACUGAAAGAAAAUGAGAAGUACUUUGUCGUGGAAAAAAAACCUGAGUAAGGCACUGCACAUGGCAAAUAACUUUUUCGGUAAAAGUAGCUGGAGUUUUGCUUGUUUUCUACUAAAAGCCAUAAGUUAGGACAUUGUACACGCAUUAGGCACGGCCUGUACUCCAUGUGCUUGCUGGGCUUGAUAGUGCGAUGCUUGAAUUGCUGCACAUGCACAUGAAUCUCUUGGCCUUGGAAGUUAUAAAAGGCAACCAAUACUCAGAGAGAGCUCACACCGUUGAUGCUAACUGGCUAAGCUAAGGUUCAUGAAACAGCUAGUGCAUCCCAGGGAUCUAGGCAGCCGGUGAUUGCUCCAAAGGCGUUAUCUAGGCUUGGGAUACAUCUGGAAUAUGAGACUGCCAAUAUCAUCUUCUGCUUCUGAGAGAGAAAAGACUGCCCACGUCUGAAGCUGCCGCUUUCUUGGCUGCCCUGCAAUUCACGUUGUUGUGGUGCCAUUUCUUUUCCGAACCGGCCUUACCCCCUUUCCAUUAAAGAUAUAAUGGAAAUACAUCAACCCCGAAUUCAGCAGGACACGGGAAAGAAGGGGAAAGCGAGCUCGAGCACUUGCUAGGACCACUGAAACUCAUGGCACACACUCGCCAUCGAACUGUGCACCAUGGGGGCAGAAACCUAGUCAACAUGAUCCAGCAAGUCUAGACGUAUCACAACGUAGAUCGGGCGAAAAGCUCAAAGUAUCAGGAAGACAACUAAAGACCACCUUAGGGACGAAGUUCAAAAGACACAACAUACAAAGUAGUCCAGUAUCAAAACGACUGGUGACAAAAUCUUCGUUCCUCCCCUGCAACCGCCUGACUUGCAGCAUCAAAAAUUCUCAUCAGCAGACUGUUACCGCUAAGAUGUUCAGCUCCAGCCCUUUGCAAUAUCGUCUUUCUUUUGAAGACAUGCCCAGUAGAUAAGUGAAGUGCAAACAGAAAAAAAAAUCUCAAAUGGGCAAAGAUCUGCCCCCAGAACAACACCCACAGCACACCAUACAAUCCUGGCAUAGGGCACUGGAAAAAAGAUGCUAUCAAGUUUCAACAUUUUUGCAAAACGAACAGAUAGGAUUCCCAGGCCAUUUUCUUUGUCUCAUGACUCAUCACUUGCCUAGUUAAGACUGCAUCUUGAAACAAUUACCAAAGGAAUAUUUAAAUUUCGGUAACUUAGCCCCCCAAAUCCACUUGAAGUUACAUCCAACAAGAGGUUUCUACAGCCAUUUGUACAUGGAUUUGGUGGAGUAUCUGCCAUUCUUAUUGAGAUCCCAGAGCUAAGAUGUAAAUCAUUCACACAGACACCCACUUCAUGCCAUUGGGUAAGGAGAUCGGAACUAAGCCUUCUGCCAAAGAAACUUUUCACAUUAAUCUGGUUGAACUGAGAUACAAUGCAAUGAGGUUUGUUGCAAAUAUUAAACAGUUUAGGGAAUUGAUCACAUAAAGGUGUAUGACCAUUAAGGGAGUCUUUCCACAGUCUAGCAAUAUCAGUAGCCCCAAUACUAAAUCAAGUGAAUACCGAGAGAUUGGGAUGCGUACGAAAGCAUACCCACAUGAAGAAGUCUGUAAAGCUAGGGUUUUAGUUUGAAAUUUCAUAAGAGCCAGCGAAGAUGUUGAAAAGCUAUCUGAAUGCCUCAUUUUGGAUUCUUAUAAAUCUAAACUGCACUGCUACACAAAAUACAUGAACAAAUGAUUGGAAAAUUGUGACCCAACAGAGCAAAAUAUGAUUUAGGGAUUGCAUUAUAGCAGGGCAAGACACUACUUUAUAACCAGUAAGUCUCGAAGGAAAAUGCAUUUAUAUGAGUCUUUUUAAUCCAAAAAGGACAAAGCACCCACUCUUGAGUCUGGAAUUUUGGUUAAGUUCAAUGACCUUGAAAUCAUUUUGAUGUUGGAAAUUUUUUUUUCUCUUUUCGAAAAGGAGGAUAACCCCUAACCUCUACAUCGAGUGAUGCACACAACCAUAUAUUUUUUAUUAUUCAUCCAGCAACCGAACAACAUUGACCCGGAAAAAACCUGAGGCCGUAUGCUCGCGACAGUAACUCCACCAGAUAACCAAUACUAACGCUAUGAUAAAAGACAAACAAAAUGAAAAAUACACAACUCCUAGGCUAAGCCUUCAAGAAGGAAUCAACGCAUGUGCGCUAAUGAUGAUGAGUCCAACCCAAGGUCGAUCUCGGAAUUUUCAUCCCCAAAGCCAAGCUUCGAUCCGUCACCGUCUGCAAGGGCACGACGCAGGCGCGCACCGGCAUAGCCUGGUCGGAGAUCUAGUGUUUCCAUCAGAGCGCGCAUGUUCGGCAUUGAAGUCACCUCCACCAUCAACACUAGUCCGGCUACCAACACCUCACUAGCCAGAUACCACAAGUGGAGAUUUCGGAAGACAACAGCCACCGACAACCACCACCUCCCUGUUGAACGCCACUGCUAGACCGGCCGCAGGCUACUGUGCUGCCACGAAGCAACUGCCGCCGACAAACACCACCUCCCCGCUGCAAGUCGUUGUAGAUCCCUCUCCAAAGGCCCGAUGUCAUGAAGAAACGAGGUUGCCACGACCUCAGUGUCGCUGGCGCUGGUCCCUCCAAGCGAUGCAAGCUCCAGAAACGAUGACCUUAAGAGUGACGACGACGUAGAAGCACCGCCAUCGCUCCAUGCCGACGAGAUCUAAGGUUUCCCCCGGAAUUGCCUCGGUGGUCCACCUAGGCCGCCGCCGCCACCAGCCGUCCAUCAUGCCUUGUAGUAACAAGGCGUCGUCGCGAUAGUGCACCGCCUCGCCGUGGCGCCCAGCGGUCGAGCCACGCCCUAUCCCAGGAGCACCUGCCCGUGCAGAUCCCCACACGCGAGGGACAAAGAGGCCCCGUCGCCGCCGGCCAGCCUUCGCCCAUCCCCGCCCUUUGGCGGUGGCGAGGGAGGAACGGGGGUUGGGGGGCGGCGCCGAUUAGGGUUCCCCCUCCGCUGCCACGCUGGGGUGACGAGAGGACGACGCAAACUUAGGUGGCGUUUGGUUCAACGGCGAGGCUAGGUUGGCUAAGGAUAUCCUCAACCAGGUGGUUAAGGAUAACCACUUUUCGUUGUUUGGUUGGGUGGGAUUGGAUUAGUUGAAUAUCCAUGGUUUGUUGUUUGGUUGAAAGGAUAAGAAGUGGCUAAGGACAUGCCAAGUUUGGAAAAUAUACACAGCGCGCACACAUAAGCAGCCACACAAUCAUCCAUGAGUAUAAUAACAGAUCGGGCUGCAGUUCGUAGUGCAAAAAAUCAGAGAAUAUAAUUUUAUACUAGGGGAACUGGAGCAUGGGAAUUGAGAGGAUAGAGCCACCGAGCCAGCCUCAGCCUAACCCAUCAGGCACGCAAAGCUCGAUUGCGUGGUGGCCGUCGUCGAGGAGUGCGAGGCUCCGGCUGGAUCCGGUUCUACACCUUCACGAGCACUCAAGGGUGAUGGUGCCAUCGCAGAUCCGCCCAAAUCGCCAUCGCCGCCGCCUUCACGCCGGGCACGCACACUGCACACGAGAGAUGGCUGGAUUGACAAGUAGAGGAAGGGCAAGGCCUGUCCGCCGCUGCGCUUCUCCGGCCGGCGCCCGCCGGCGCCGCCGCCAAGCCCGGGGAGGAGGAGGAGAGGUGGAUAAACUGAGAGAUGCUUUUCUUUCGGGAGAGUUGACUGAACGGACGACUCAGGAUUCGCUUGCGACACGAACGUGGCUGCCCUCAUCUCCGCCAUAUUUUGCCGGCUCUUCCCAACCAGCUUUUUGAGGAAUAUUCUCAGCAUCUUGGCUAUCCCUAUCCUUUCAUCCCUCUAAACCAAACGGGUGACAUCCUUCAGAAAAUUGGCUAUCCCUGUCCAACUGAGGGAUAGCCGAUGAAUCAAACGCCACCGUAGAGUAUCUCUCUUUCGAUGUUAGAAGUGAUAAAAAUAUGGUUAUCUUACCUGUGUCUAAUGAACAUAUUGAGGAUUUACUACUGCUACUCUCACCUGUCAGUGAAGCACUGGCAUGUGCAUCCUGCGACAUGCUCCAUCCAUGUUUUAUUUACCUUUUUGCUUAUACAAAAAAUUGAACAGUCAAAAAAAAUCACGGGGGAAAAAGUUGGAAGAUAUGUUCCCUCAAAUUAUAAAAUUAAGUAAAUGUGCCGAAGACAACUUUUCAGUAACUCACUUUAUGAAAGAUUUGAGUUAAAUCAUUUAAUUAAUGCACUGCACAUCUAUAUGCAGGUGAUUGAGAAGGCUACUGAAAGUGGAGAGCUUACUGAACUUGUUCUCAUGAUCAUUUGGAAUCAAGUUGAUGUUGCUCGGGGUGAUGUAUGUAAAGCUCUGUUCUGAGUCAUGUUACCUAUAGAUCCUAUGGUUUGUAUACUUUUACGUGCAGUUCAAGUUCGAUCUUUUAACAUCUGGCAAAUCUAGUAUUAUAUAUAGUGUCAAAGCUUGUAGCCUUGUACUGUGCAAUUCAGGAUCCUGUUAUACAUUUAACAAGACAUUGUCACCUAAAAAUGCAAUUUCCCUUAAAGCAAAUAGUAAAGGAAAAAUAUCAGAAAAUAUUGCAGGGCAAAGACAUUAUCACAUCUCUCAUGGUAAAUUGACUCCAGAGAUAACCACUUGUCCUGUUAUCUGUUCAUACUUGUAAACUUAUCAUUCCGUAAUUGGAUUCUGAAUUUCCUACUCAGAUUACUUCCUUAUACCAUCAUGGUUCUUACAUGCUAUAGAACAAUUCUGAAAUUUUAGUUUUCCUUAUCAAUUUUCUUUUCAACAUGAUGGGCAGAUCAAGCUGUCUCCCCAGGACGAUGAUGUUCUUCUGAGAGUUGACUUUGUGAGGUAAGUAGAUGAGCUGCUGAAAGAAGUUGAAGCUGAGCAAGAAAAGAGUAAGCUGCAAACUGGAUACGACCCGGAGUCUGUUGUGACCAUGUUGAAACAGCAAGAGAAGCUGCGGACUAUACGUCAAGUGGAAGCUCUCUUGGAGU
rnacentral:lncRNA from 1 species